rnacentral:rRNA from 1 species
AUUGAACGCUGGCGGCAGGCUUAACACAUGCAAGUCGAGCGGGGAAAGGUAGCUUGCUACCUGACCUAGCGGCGGACGGGUGAGUAAUGCUUAGGAAUCUGCCUAUUAGUGGGGGACAACAUCUCGAAAGGGAUGCUAAUACCGCAUACGUCCUACGGGAGAAAGCAGGUGACCUUCGGGCCUUGCGCUAAUAGAUGAGCCUAAGUCGGAUUAGCUAGUUGGUGGGGUAAAGGCCUACCAAGGCGACGAUCUGUAGCGGGUCUGAGAGGAUGAUCCGCCACACUGGGACUGAGACACGGCCCAGACUCCUACGGGAGGCAGCAGUGGGGAAUCUUGGACAAUGGGGGGAAACCUGAUCCAGCCAUGCCGCGUGUGUGAAGAAGGCCUUUGGGUUGUAAAGCACUUUAAGCGGGGAGGAGGCUACCGAGAUUAAUACUCUUGGAUAGUGGACGUUACUCGCAGAAUAAGCACCGGCUAACUCUGUG